rnacentral:tRNA from 1 species
AGGGGGUUAGCUCACUGGCACAGCGCUUGCUUGACAAGCGUGAGGUCCUGAGUUCGAUUCCUGGUUCCCCCU